CACACCGCACAAAACCUAGACACCUCUCUCUCUUUCUGCAUUAGUUUCGUGCGUCUCUCCCUCACUUCGGCAAUCUUUCUGCUCAGUAAGUCCAGCCUCUGCUCAUUUGUUCUUCGAAUUUUGUUCCGUUUACUUUUGUAUAUUUAUAGUAUAUAACUGUAUGGUUAAUUGUUGUUUGUUAGUUUUCGAGCUUGAAUCAUGAUAACCUGUUAUGAUGUUGUUCGUUGUCAAAUGAAUCCGAUUGUUCUCAUUUUUGAGUUGUUUUUUUUUUGACAUAUGUGAUGAUUUUGGUGAAUUUAUGUAUUGGAUAUAAGGACUAUUUGUUUUGUUUGGUUCAAUCUAAAGAUCGUAUUAAGAUGUGAACAAUCCUUGGAUCUGCCCUGAUAUUUUUAUUUUUUAUGAUCUCUUUAGUCAUUCUGAUAUUUUUUGAUAAUUAGAAUUUCUCUGAUGUGUUCAAUGAACUUGUUUAUAUUUUUUAAAUUACGUACCUUUGUUUUUUAAGAUUUUGGAAUAGUAAGUCAUGUAACUGUUACAUUGCUUAUGACUGUCUAUAUUUCUUCUUUUUCGUUUCCUUAUAGAUUGAGUUUCUCGUAGCCUAGGUUGAAAAUCUUCAGAUCAUUGAACAUUUGAAUGGAAAUACAGCAUCUGCAAUUUUUUUGCCUAAAAAUCGUUCGCAUAUAAUCGUUUUUUUGGUUUCAUAACUGGAAUGUUUCUUUCAACUUAAUUACCUUCUUUUAUUUUUGUAGUUGCUGCUUUAUUAGCAUGGAUAAUUGAGAUAAAUGUCAAAUAUUUUUUAUAUGUAAAUCCUUGUGCAGAACAAAUCUAUCAUCACAUGCAUGUACUUAUUUUUAUCUGCAUUACUGUCAAAACGUUGCCGAGCCAAACUGAACCAUCCAGAUUUUGUUUAAUUUCAGGGACUAAAACCGUUUUCAGUCCUUCAAGUUUUCUUAAAUUAUAAAUUGGUCUCUCAAUUUUAUAAAUUUUACAGUUUAGUCCCCUAAAAUCUGGAUAGUUUGGUCCCAAAAUUUUUAAAAAUUACAUGUCAUUAGAGUCUUAGAUAUUACAGAUCAGUAAAUAAAAUUUUCAGAAAUUGCAAAGUGUUUAAAAUUUCAGAAAUUAAAAAAUAUUCACUAAGUUUUAGAAAUCACAGAUCAAUCAUUAAAGUUUCAAAAAUUACUGAACAGUCACUAUUAGUUUUAAAAAUUGACUUCUAGUGCACUUAUUAGAAGUCUUGCUUAGUCUGUAAAGUUUCAGAUAUUUUAGAUCAAUAAGUAAUUUUUUAAAAAUUACAGAUUAGUCAGUAAAGUUUUUAGAUAUUUCAUAUCAGUAAUUAAAUUUUUCCGAAAUUGCAGAUCAGUCAUCAAAAUUUUAAAAAUUAUAGAUCAGUAACUAAAAAAUUUAUAAAUUACAGAUCAAUCACUAAAGUUUAAAUUAUUGCUGAUCAGUAACUAUAGUAUUAAAAAUUACAGAACAGGCACUAAAGUUUUAAAAUUUAACUUCCGAUGCACUUAUGAGAUUGCAAGUGGUAAAGUUUCAGAUAUUACAGAUCGUCAAGUAAAUUUUUUGAAAAUUUUAGGUUAAUAACUAAAAUUUU
rnacentral:lncRNA from 1 species